ensembl:lncRNA
UGGGGGUUCCCAGGUUGUUUCAUCCAGUGUUCCAGGACAGGGUGGGGGUUCCCAGGUUGUUUCCUCCAGUGUUCCAGGACAGGGUGGGGGUUGCCAGGUUGUUUCAUCCAGUGUUCCAGGACAGGGUGGGGGUUGCCAGGUUGUUUCAUCCAGUGUUCCAGGACAGGGUGGGGGUUCCUCGGUUGUUUCCUUUUUGGUUUUGUAUAGAUCCUUGUAGGUUCAGGACAGCAACAUCACACAUUCCCAAGAAAACUUCUCGAAGGGUGAAUGUUCGUGUGUUUGCUCCAUUUUUAGCUUUUCAUCACUAAGAGCUACAAACUCACCUGAGUGCAGGAAGAGCCUGUGAUGCUGUGAACAGACACCCACAUCUCACCAACUUCCUCUACAACUAAUCCUGCUGGCUCUGUCUCAUUAACUUCAGAAGUCUGAAGGAGACGUCCUCUACAUCAGAGACAUCUACAGACUAUGAGGAAGGCUGUGGUCUGUCUGUUUGGUUAAUAAAGGCGAUGUUGGAAUGCCA